UGGCGAACGGGUGAGUAACACGUGAGUAACCUGCCCUUGACUCUGGGAUAAGCGUUGGAAACGACGUCUAAUACCGGAUACGACAACCGAUGGCAUCAUCUGGUUGUGGAAAGAAUUUCGGUCAAGGAUGGACUCGCGGCCUAUCAGCUAGUUGGUGAGGUAAUGGCCCACCAAGGCGACGACGGGUAGCCGGCCUGAGAGGGUGACCGGCCACACUGGGACUGAGACACGGCCCAGACUCCUACGGGAGGCAGCAGUGGGGAAUAUUGCACAAUGGGCGCAAGCCUGAUGCAGCAACGCCGCGUGAGGGAUGACGGCCUUCGGGUUGUAAACCUCUUUUAGUAGGGAAGAAGCGAAAGUGACGGUACCUGCAGAAAAAGCACCGGCUAACUACGUGCCAGCAGCCGCGGUAAUACGUAGGGUGCAAGCGUUGUCCGGAAUUAUUGGGCGUAAAGAGCUCGUAGGCGGUUUGUCGCGUCUGCUGUGAAAACUGGAGGCUCAACCUCCAGCCUGCAGUGGGUACGGGCAGACUAGAGUGCGGUAGGGGAGAUUGGAAUUCCUGGUGUAGCGGUGGAAUGCGCAGAUAUCAGGAGGAACACCGAUGGCGAAGGCAGAUCUCUGGGCCGUAACUGACGCUGAGGAGCGAAAGCGUGGGGAGCGAACAGGAUUAGAUACCCUGGUAGUCCACGCCGUAAACGUUGGGAACUAGAUGUGGGGACCAUUCCACGGUCUCCGUGUCGCAGCUAACGCAUUAAGUUCCCCGCCUGGGGAGUACGGGCCGCAAGGCUAAAACUCAAAGGAAUUGACGGGGGCCCGCACAAGCGGCGGAGCAUGCGGAUUAAUUCGAUGCAACGCGAAGAACCUUACCAAGGCUUGACAUAUACGAGAACGGGCCAGAAAUGGUCAACUCUUUGGACACUCGUAAACAGGUGGUGCAUGGUUGUCGUCAGCUCGUGUCGUGAGAUGUUGGGUUAAGUCCCGCAACGAGCGCAACCCUCGUUCUAUGUUGCCAGCACGUAAUGGUGGGAACUCAUAGGAGACUGCCGGGGUCAACUCGGAGGAAGGUGGGGAUGACGUCAAAUCAUCAUGCCCCUUAUGUCUUGGGCUUCACGCAUGCUACAAUGGCCGGUACAAAGGGCUGCAAUACCGUAAGGUGGAGCGAAUCCCAAAAAGCCGGUCUCAGUUCGGAUUGAGGUCUGCAACUCGACCUCAUGAAGUCGGAGUCGCUAGUAAUCGUGGAUCAGCAACGCCACGGUGAAUACGUUCCCGGGCCUUGUACACACCGCCCGUCAAGUCAUGAAAGUCGGUAACACCCGAAGCCGGUGGCCCAACCC
rnacentral:rRNA from 1 species